rnacentral:lncRNA from 1 species
AGCUGGAGGAUAACCAGCUGGAGGAUAACCUGCAGGUGGGUACCCCCCCUGGGGAGGAUAGCCUGCAGGUGGGUACCCCCCUUGGGGGGGAUAACCUGGUGGUGGAUAUCCGCCAUGAUGAGGAUAUCCAGCAGGUGGAUAGCCCUGAGGAGGAUAACCAUGUGGAGGAUAUGAUCCUUGGGGUGGUAAGUGGCCAGCAGCAUAUCCGGCUAGAUGUGAAAACAACCCUUUAU